rnacentral:misc_RNA from 1 species
CGCUAUGGCACACUCGGUUCAAAGUUGUCUGUCGUACAUUGCAACAUCUUCCCUAACGCCUGGUUCGCGGUGAACUCGUUCCAGCUCGUUGUCGUGCAUCAACCCAAGGGGCCCACGAAGACAGAGCUCUGGUACUUCUGCUUUGUCGACAAGGACCAGACACCGGAUGUGAACGAAGCCUGGCGCCUGCGCAACAUGUGGUCACUGGGCCCGUCCGGGCUGCUGGAGCAGGAUGACGGCGAGAACUGGGACCUCAGCACGCGCGGCUCCAUUACCUACGGCAUGCGCCAGUACGACCUGCACUACGGCAUGGCCGCGGGCCACGGCGAGAUCGUCCGCGACGAAGCCGCGCCCUUCGCCCGCAUCGAGGCCAUGAACGUCAACGAACACUACAUGCGCUGGACCUACGGCUGCUGGGCAGA